rnacentral:sRNA from 1 species
CGCCAUCGCCAAGAAGAAACUUGCAGAGGCCAAGUAUAAGGAGCGAGGGACGGUCUUGGCUGAGGACCAGCUAGCCCAGAUGUCAAAGCAGUUGGACAUGUUCAAGACCAACCUGGAGGAAUUUGCCAGCAAACACAAGCAGGAGAUCCGGAAGAAUCCUGAGUUCCGUGUGCAGUUCCAGGACAUGUGUGCAACCAUUGGUGUGGAUCCACUGGCCUCUGGAAAAGGAUUUUGGUCUGAGAUGCUGGGCGUGGGGGACUUCUAUUACGAACUAGGUGUCCAAAUUAUCGAAGUGUGCCUGGCGCUGAAGCAUCGGAAUGGAGGUCUGAUAACUUUGGAGGAACUACAUCAACAGGUGUUGAAGGGAAGGGGCAAGUUCGCCCAGGAUGUCAGUCAGUAGGUCUUGUCUUCCAAUCCCUUGGAGUACAGAAAGAGGUCUUUAAAAUUCAGAUGGAACUCUUUUCUCUCUAUUCCUCAUGUCUAGGCUAGCUUAGAAAUCUGUAUGAUCUCCAUAUCAUACAGAAAAAAAAAAAAACAAAAAAUAAGAGAUAGGGUCUCACUGUUGCCCAAGCUGGAGUACAGUGGCACGAUCACAGCUUACUGCUACCAAGAUCGUUGCUUACUGCAGCCUCAAACUCUUGGGCUCAAGUAAUCCUCCCACCUCAGCCUCCCAAGUAGUUGGGAUUAUAGGCAUGGGCCAGUAUGGCUGGCUAUUUUUAGAAAACAGAAAAUAUAGAUUUAAAAAAGGAAACAAAAACCAUUAUUUCUCAAUUAAGAGAUUACAACUGCUAUAUAUUUUAAUGUAGUUCCUAAGCAUUUUUUCAUGUAUUAUUUUUUUAACAAACUUGGGG